AUGGAUUUUUGGAGCUGGGAGUUGGAAUAGGAGCUUGCUCCGUCCACUCCACGCAUCGACCUGGUAUUGCAGUACUUCCAGGAACGGUGCACC
rnacentral:snRNA from 1 species